ACUUUAUUAGUAUAAAUAGUACAUUUAACUUCCAAUUAAAAAGUUUUUUUUAAAUAAAGUA
rnacentral:tRNA from 1 species